UAAAAUGUUUAUGCACCCAAAAAAAAAUUCUGGCGCAACCUCAAAUGUCUGUAAACUAUAUACAAAUCUGUGCAUUUGGCAUCCCUGCCUUCUCGCACAUCAUGAGCUGUUUCGAGCUGUCAAACCCAAAAUUUGUUUACAUUUUCUCCUGCACGACCUGGGGUGGCGGCAGAGGUCGAGGGGAGGAGGAAGUUUUCGUUCGCAGUUUCUUCGGAGGAGCUGCUGCUGCUGAGCCGCCAUGGAAUAUCAACCCGGUUACGGUGAUAAACAUGCCAGAGUACGUGACGAGUCGGAUGGCGGGGAUUAUCCGGAACCGGCAGCAGCAGGUUAUCCGAAGCCAGGUUGGUCAAAAUAGUUUGUCUAACCGCAGUUCUCGGCGCAACUGAUCAAGCUGUGCUCGUUGGACCUCGCUCCGAAGAAAACCGCCACCAGCAGGUUCGGUCUGGACUGGGAUGAAAUCGCGCCUACGCCACAAGGAUGCAGCCCGAGGGGGACGUCACUCCGCGAUAACACACUAAAACGCACAAAAACGAGCUCGAAAAGCAUCAACGCUACUCAUCGUGCCGAGUUUUCACAUAACGCCACCUAAAAGCAAGUUAUCGCAAGUUAACGCGCGUUAAAGCGAGUUAAAGCGGCCAGCGUCUGCUCGACUUUUGAACAAAGCGAAAACGAUCUUGCAUCCCUGCUGUCAUAGCUCGAGCAGUUUUUCGAUCAAGUUUGGCAACUCGGUAUUUGUUUUGAUAAGUUUUCAAGCAGUUUCCGCAGAAAGAAAACAAAAACAAAGCAGGUCGCGAUUUUUUUUGGUUAAAGGUCGGAAAACUUUACUCCGAUGGGAUGACCGGCGCCGGCGUUUUGCUACAACGAGACAAACACAACUGGACCGGCAAGCUGCAACUUGGGGGAGAAAAAGUUCAAGUAUCUUAGCAAUCAAUCGAUGGAAGGCACCACAUCUGGGCAUUUUGGUGCGACUCCCCGGAAAGUGUAUUUUCUAACUAAGUCCAACAAUGAGCUGCGAGAGGAGAACCGGGAGUUUAAGGCGGCGGCUGUAGGGAGCAGUGUCCAACGAGACCGAUGGCACAGUGGACGGUGCCGUUUGGUGUUUUUUCCGGGUGUUUAAGCAAACUAGCUCCCAACAAAUGACGUCGACGAGCGGCUUAGCGUAUGGCUUGUCUGGACCACAACAUCGGCGAGUUCUGCUGUAACCUAUAAGGGAAACCGGUGCCGUUGGAGUGGACAGGUCAAUUCAGAAGAGGAAAAUGCACCAAAGUUUGACUCAUUUGGCGAGAAAAAGAGUAAUAAAGUUCUAGGUGGAGUU